GAUGAACGCUGGCGGCGUGCCUAAUACAUGCAAGUCGAGCGAACGGACGAGAAGCUUGCUUCUCUGAUGUUAGCGGCGGACGGGUGAGUAACACGUGGAUAACCUACCUAUAAGACUGGGAUAACUUCGGGAAACCGGAGCUAAUACCGGAUAAUAUUUUGAACCGCAUGGUUCAAAAGUGAAAGACGGUCUUGCUGUCACUUAUAGAUGGAUCCGCGCUGCAUUAGCUAGUUGGUAAGGUAACGGCUUACCAAGGCAACGAUGCAUAGCAGACCUGAGAGGGGGCUCGGCCACACUGGAACGAGGACACGUCCCAAACCCCCAGGGGGGGCAGCAGAAGGGAAUCUUCAGAAAGGGGCGAAACCCUAACGGAGCAACCCCGGGUGAGUAAAAAAGGUUUCUGAAUCGUAAAACCCUUUUAUGAGGAAAAAACAUAUUUGAAAGUAACUUGCCAAAUCUUGACGGUACCAAUUCAAAAAGCCACGGCUAACUACGU
rnacentral:rRNA from 1 species